UUCAGAGUAUGUGAGGAUUGAUUUCAUCUCUACGUUUCUAUCUAAGUUUGGGGUUGCUGUUGGAAUAGCAACCUUUAAGUUUGGGGUAGCUUUGCAGUAAGUGAAUGUAGUAUAAAAAAAAAAGAAAAAAAAAAGAGAAAAACAACAACAACAUGAAAAGAAAGAAAGAGAAAAGCGAAAAACAAUAAAAGAACAGCUUUUGAAAAAUGCUACAUUCACUAUAGACAAAAGGAAAAGAGGAUUACAAAACCCUGCAGGAAUAAUAGGAAAGAAACGUAGUGAGAGAAUGAGUUCAUGUACUCUGAACCAAAAACCUUUGUUCAAAUUUCAUACCCCACCUGAAAAAAAAAACCGUUGUGCCAAUUUCAUACCCUACCUAAACCAAAACCCCGUUACAACCCAAAAGACCUCAAAAAGUGUGUGUGAUUGUACAUGUUGAUAGGAUGAGAGAAUUUAUUCAAACUUCUGAUUUGAUAUUGCAUAUUGUGAUUUGAGAGUGUUAACACUUUAACCCAGAGAGACUUGGUGAGAGUGUGAAAUAA
rnacentral:lncRNA from 1 species